CGGAGAAGGAGCAUGAGAAACGGUCACCACAUCUAAGGAAGGCAGCAGGCGCGUAAAUUACCCAAUCCUGACUCAGGGGGGUAGUGACAAGAAAUAUCAAUAUAAGGCUUCUAUGUCUUGUAAUUGGGAUGAGCGAAACAUAAACCGCUUCUCGAGUAUCAAUUGGAGGGCAAGUCUGGUGCCAGCAGCCGCGGUAAUUCCAGCUCCAAUAGCGUAUAUUAAAAUUGUUGCGGAUAAAACGCUCGUAGUUGGAUAUCUGCCAAGGGGUUUCGGUCCUUCCCAGUGAAGAAUACGCGAGACUUCUCUUGGCAUUUAUUCGGAGAUUAUGGUUGCACUUUGUUGUGUGUCAUAAGAUCCGAAUUUUUACUUUGAGGAAAUAAGAGUGUUUCAAGCAAGCGUUUGCCGUGAAUAUGAUAGCAUGGAAUAAUAGCACAGGACCCCUUUCCAAAGCUGUUGGUUUUUGGGACGAGGUAAUCACAAUAAGGAUAGUUGGGGGUACUCGUAUUUAACUGUCAGAGGUGAAAUUCUUGGAUUUUUUAAAGACGAACUAUUGCGAAGGCAUCUGCCCAGUAUGUUUUUAUUGAUCAAGAACGAAAGUUAGGGGAUCGAAGACGAUCAGAUACCGUCCUAGUCUUAACCUUAAACUAUGCCGACUGGAGAUUGGAGUUGUCAGGUUUGUGACAUCUUCAGCAUCCUGAGAGAAAUCGAAGUCUUUGGGUUCCGGGGGGAGUAUGGUCGCAAGGCUGAAACUUAAAGGAAUUGACGGAAGGGCACCACCAGGAGUGGAGCCUGCGGCUUAAUUUGACUCAACACGGGAAAACUCACCAGGUCCAGACAUAGAUAGGAUUGACAGACUGAUAGCUCUUUCUUAAUUCUAUGGGUGGUGGUGCAUGGCCGUUCUUAGUUGGUGGAGUGAUUUGUCUGGUUAAUUUCGUUAACGAACGAGACCUUAGCCUGCUAAAUAGUUUCCAGAACUUCGGUUAUCGGAUAACUUCUUAGAGGGACUUUGUGUGUCUAACACAAGGAAGUUUGAGGCAAUAACAGGUCUGUGAUGCCCUUAGAUGUCCUGGGCUGCACGCGCGCUACACUGAUGUGACCAAUAAGCACCUUACCUACUCCGAAGGGACUGGGUAACCUUUGCAAAGCACAUCGUGAUGGGGAUAGAUUAUUGCAACUAUUAGUCUUGAACGAGGAAUUCCUAGUAAGCCCAAGUCAUCAGCUUGUGUUGAUUACGUCCCUGCCCUUAGUACACACCGCCCGUCGCUCCUACCGAUUGAGUGAUGACGGUGAAUACUUCGGAGUGCGAAAUCUACAGUGUCUGUCCUUUUCGCGCAAAGUUGAAUAAACCUUAUCACUUGGAGGAAGGAGAAGUCGUAACAAGGUAACC
rnacentral:rRNA from 1 species